rnacentral:rRNA from 1 species
CACGUAGGCACCAAGCGUUGUCCGGAUUUAUUGGGCGUAAAGAGCUCGUAGGCGGUUCGGUAAGUCGGGUGUGAAAACUUUGGGCUUAACCCAAAGCGUGCAUCUGAUACUGCUGUGACUAGAGUUCGGUAGGGGAGUGGGGAAUUCCUAGUGUAGCGGUGAAAUGCGCAGAUAUUAGGAGGAACACCGGUGGCGAAGGCGCCACUCUGGCGAAACUGAACGCUGAGGAGCGAAAGCGUGGGUAGCAAACAGG